AUACAGAGGGUGCAAGCGUUGUUCGGAAUUAUUGGGCGUAAAGCGCGUGUAGGCGGCUUUGCAAGUCGGGUGUGAAAGCCCUCAGCUUAACUGAGGAAGUGCGCCCGAAACUGCAAGGCUUGAGUACCGGAGAGGAUGGCGGAAUUCCCCAAGUAGAGGUGAAAUUCGUAGAUAUGGGGAGGAACACCGGUGGCGAAGGCGGCCAUCUGGACGGAUACUGACGCUGAGACGCGAAAGCGUAGGUAGCAAACAGGA
rnacentral:rRNA from 1 species